rnacentral:rRNA from 1 species
GGGAAUUUUGCCCAAUGGGGCCAAGCCUGAUGAAGCCAUGCCCGGUGUUAGAAGAAGGCCUUUCGGGUUGUAAAGUACUUUCAGCAGUGAGGAAGGUGGGUAUGUUAAUAGCAUAUUCAUUUGACGUUAGCUGCAGAAGAAGCCCCGGCUAAUUCCGUGCCAGCAGCCGCGGUAAUACGGAGGGUGCGAGCGUUAAUCGGAAUUACUGGGCGUAAAGCGCAUGCAGGUGGUUUGUUAAGUCAGAUGUGAAAGCCCGGGGCUCAACCUCGGAAUUGCAUUUGAAACUGACAAACUAGAGUACUGUAGAGGGGGGUAGAAUUUCAGGUGUAGCGGUGAAAUGCGUAGAGAUCUGAAGGAAUACCGGUGGCGAAGGCGGCCCCCUGGACAGAUACUGACACUCAGAUGCGAAAGCGUGGGGAGCAAACAGGAUUAGAUACCCUGGUAGUCCACGCCGUAAACGAUGUCUACUUGGAGGUUGUGGCCUUGAGCCGUGGCUUUCGGAGCUAACGCGUUAAGUAGACCGCCUGGGGAGUACGGUCGCAAGAUUAAAACUCAAAUGAAUUGACGGGGGCCCGCACAAGCGGUGGAGCAUGUGGUUUAAUUCGAUGCAACGCGAAGAACCUUACCUACUCUUGACAUCUACAGAAGCCAGCGGAGACGCAGGUGUGCCUUCGGGAACUGUAAGACAGGUGCUGCAUGGCUGUCGUCAGCUCGUGUUGUGAAAUGUUGGGUUAAGUCCCGCAACGAGCGCAAUCCUUAUCCUUGUUUGCCAGCACUUCGGGUGGGAACUCCAGGGAGACUGCCGGUGAUAAACCGGAGGAAGGUGGGGACGACGUCAAGUCAUCAUGGCCCUUACGAGUAGGGCUACACACGUGCUACAAUGGCGCAUACAGAGGGCGGCCAACUUGCGAAAGUGAGCGAAUCCCAAAAAGUGCGUCGUAGUCCGGAUUGGAGUCUGCAACUCGACUCCAUGAAGUCGGAAUCGCUAGUAAUCGUGGAUCAGAAUGCCACGGUGAAUACGUUCCCGGGCCUUGUACACACCGCCCGUCACACCAUGGGAGUGGGCUGCAAAAGAAGUGGGUAGUUUAACCUUCGGGAGGACGCUCACCACUUUGUGGUUCAUGACUGGGGUGAAGUCGUAACAAGGGAACCG